GACGAACGCUGGCGGCGUGCCUAACACAUGCAAGUCGAACGAGGUCCAAGGGAGCUUGCUCCCUGACGACCUAGUGGCGAACGGGUGAGUAACACGUGAGAAACCUGCCUCGGAGUGGGGAAUAACUCGGGGAAACUCGAGCUAAUACCGCAUACCUUCAGAUGGUCGCAUGGCCGACUGAAGAAAGAAUUUCGCUCUGAGAGGGUCUCGCGGCCUAUCAGCUAGUUGGUGGGGUAACGGCCUACCAAGGCAACGACGGGUAGCUGGAUUGAGAGAUCGAUCAGCCACACUGGGACUGAGACACGGCCCAGACUCCUACGGGAGGCAGCAGUGGGGAAUCUUGCGCAAUGGGCGAAAGCCUGACGCAGCAACGCCGCGUGCGGGAUGACGGCCUUCGUGGUUGUAAACCGCUUUCAGCAGGGACGAAAUUGACGGUACCUGCAGAAGAAGCUCCGGCUAACUACGUGCCAGCCGCCGCCGUAAGAC
rnacentral:rRNA from 1 species